ensembl:lncRNA
GCUCGCUGUUUGAGUGCUUUGGACUUUUCGUUUUUAUUUUUUUAAUUAAAAAAAAAGUCUGCGGUGACACGCCAUCUCCUCACAGUAUUAAGUGAAAUAGAACAAGAGUGACUUUCGUUGACACGAAACUUUUAAUUAUUCUGAAGUGAGUGCAGUUAAAACUCAUAACGUCACGUUGCGUUUGCAUCCUGCCACCGAACAGAGGGCUCAUUUCAUGGCUGCAAUUGGACUGAGAUAUUAAGCUGAAUUUCAAAGAGACUGUGAUACCUGGUGUAAUUUUACAGGACAGAAGCUGAAGCCCCAGCAGGCACCUAACUGCUCAAGAUGUGGAAAAACCUCCUGCUUUCUGCAGUUGGUCCUGGAAAAAUCGGCACCGUCGCGACAGUCAUCGGGAUAUUCAUUGCCACUGUUCUUCUGCAGACCGCGACGUGCGCUUGCAGAACUUUUGAAUGUAAUGAAAUCGUCGUCGUGCCUUUUUUUUUAGUAUUUUUCCUGGUGCUCCUGAUAGACCAGACAUUUCGGAGCACCGCGAAACAUCCAUCUACGUUUUUAUGCCUUGUACUCAAGCGCGUUAUCAGAGCGUUUCUAAUCAGCCUGCUGUGGAUUGUAGCAUUGUUGGUUUUAACGGACUGGUAUGGUUGUUGUAACAUUGAUGAAAACACGAGUAAGCUGUUCUGCAAAUCUGAGAACCUCACAACCGAACAAGAAGCUCGAAAAGCUGAAGUGGAAAUCAAGUCAAGGCUUUCUGCUUACUCUCUGCUCCUGGGCAUGACUGUUGUCGCUUUCUUCAUGACUUGGAGUGGGUGGAGAAAAUGGUUUGAAGAAAAAUACAGUUGGUGCAACAAGAAAACUUUUUACUACAAACUGAUUUUGGAAGAAGAGAAAAAAGUUCUGGAGGAGCUUUUGAGGAAAGAAGCAAAUGAGACUUUGACUAAAGAAAUCACGAGCAACAUAAAAAGGAAAGACUGGGACGGCUGUUUUAACGUUGCUCAACAAAUGAUCAGUAAUGCAAAACAUCAAAAACCAGAAGCAACCAACCAGCAGAUCAACUGGAUCAGUGAGGGGAGCUCCAGCAGAGGGGGACAGCAUCAUCAAGCAGCAGCACAUCAGCAGACAUCAGAGACACCGAACCGUUAUUUGAUGAAUACUUCUGAAAGAAGAUGAAGAGGUGCAGCUACAAAAUCAAUACAAAUGACCACUGACAAAUCCUGCCCAUCCAGCAGUCUGCUUUCUGAUGCUUACCUCGGUUCAGGUGUUGGGUGCAGCAGUCUGAUCAGAGACAGCCCGACCUCAUUUUCCUUUGUAGCUUCCUGCACCUCCCCCAGCUCCUCUGGAGUCCCACUGAGACGUUUACAAGUCUGCACGACACCCAGUCUCUCUGUAUGCAAUUUUUGUCAGACUAUGUAAAGUGUCCAUUCUGUGUUUUUGCUGUUUGGAAUGAUAAAUCUAAAGAAAUGUUUCCAUGUUUGUAUUAUGCUUUAUUUUUUUAUGUAGCCUAUUGAUAAUUCAGCUUUUACAUUAAUACACUUGCAAAUGGAGUGGUGUAAUGGAGUAAAUAACAUUCAUCAAAAUAAAGUGCUCUGUAAAAAACAAAACAAA